rnacentral:rRNA from 1 species
AUUGAACGCUAGCGGGAUGCUUUACACAUGCAAGUCGAACGAGUGGCGGACGGGAGGGCAAUAUAUCGGAACGUGCCCAGUAGAGGGGGAUAACUAAUCGAAAGAAUUGCUAAUACCGCACACUAUUGGCGAGGCCGAUAUCGGAUUAGGUAGUUGGUGGGGCAAAGUCUCACCAAGGCAACGAUCCGUAGCUGGUUUGAGAGGACGACCAGCCACACGGGGACGGAGACACGGCCCAGACUCCUACGGGAGGCAGCAGUGGGGAAUAUUGGACAAUGGGGGAAACCCUGAUCCAGCCAUGCCGCGUGUAUGAGAAGGUCUUCGGGUUGUAAAGUACUUUUGGCAGAGAAGCGGUAUCUGCAGAAUAAGCACCGGCUAACUACGUGCCAGCAGCCGCGGUAAUUC